CUAUCAUAUCUUAAUUACCAAAUACAAGUAAUUCUUUUAGGUUUUUAUCUUACUUGGUCUGCGUUGCCCAUUUCAUUCUUCUUAAAUUUUGUCCUCUUUUGGCUUCCUUACCUCUCCUCUCCCCGUCCCCACCCUGCUCCUUGCUAACUGCUAGUCUCCAGGAGUUGCAUUCACCGACAGUUUUUCCUCGACAAACUUCCCUUCUUACUUAGCUUUGCAUGUUCUUCCUGUAUGGUCACAUCAACAUUCUCGGUUUCACAGACGUUGUUGUCUACCAAAUGUCUCCAACUCCAGCUUAUUCUACCAGAAAGGGAAUGUACUGUAGGAAACCCAAAUUGAGACUGAACAAAACUGACCUCAUCAUUUCUCCUGCAUCUAUCUUUUCUUUUUUUUACUCCUGAUUUCAGUUAAUAGGAUCACCAAGCACUCCCAGACCAGACAUUGUGGAGUCGUCGUAUCAGGAUUUUUCCUCUUCCCUCACCUCUCACAUCAAUUCAGUCCCGAAAAUCCAUAUUUCUCAACUUAAGGUUAGCAGAUGUACUGGGGGAGGAGAGUCUUAAGAAUUCUUUAGGAGGCCGGCGCGGUGGCUCACGCCUGUAAUCCCAGCACUUUGGGAGGUGGAGGCGGGCGGAUCACCUGAGGUCAGGAGUUCGAGAUUAGCCUGGCCAACAUGGUGAAACCCCGUCUCUACUGAAAAUACAAAAAUUACCCGGGCGUGGUGGCGCAUGCCGGUAGUUCCAGCUACUCGGGAGGCUGAGGCAGGAGAAUCGCUUGAACCCGGGAGGC
rnacentral:lncRNA from 10 species